rnacentral:rRNA from 1 species
GCGAACUGGUGAGUAACACGUGGGUAACCUGCCCCGAAGCGGGGGAUAACAUUUGGAAACAAGUGCUAAUACCGCAUAAUUAGUUGGAACCGCAUGGUUCCAACUUGAAAGAUGGCUCUGCUAUCACUUUGGGAUGGACCCGCGCCGUAUUAGUUAGUUGGUGAGAUAAAAGCCCACCAAGACGAUGAUACGUAGCCGACCUGAGAGGGUAAUCGGCCACAUUGGGACUGAGACACGGCCCAGACUCCUACGGGAGGCAGCAGUAGGGAAUCUUCCACAAUGGACGAAAGUCUGAUGGAGCAACGCCGCGUGAGUGAUGAAGGUUUUCGGAUCGUAAAACUCUGUUGUUAAAGAAGAACAAGUGUUAGAGUAACUGUUAACACUUUGACGGUAUUUAACCAGAAAGCCACGGCUAACUACGUGCCAGCAGCCGCGGUAAUACGUAGGUGGCAAGCGUUGUCCGGAUUUAUUGGGCGUAAAGCGAGCGCAGGCGGUUUUGUAAGUCUGCUGUGAAAGCCCUCAGCUCAACUGAGGAAGUGCAGUGGAAACUACAAAACUUGAGUACAGAAGAGGAAAGUGGAACUCCAUGUGUAGCGGUGAAAUGCGUAGAUAUAUGGAAGAACACCAGUGGCGAAGGCGGCUUUCUGGUCUGUUACUGACGCUGAGGCUCGAAAGCAUGGGUAGCGAACAGGAUUAGAUACCCUGGUAGUCCAUGCCGUAAACGAUGAAUACUAGGUGUUGGAGGGUUUCCGCCCUUCAGUGCCGCAGNUAACGCAUUAAGUAUUCCGCCUGGGGAGUACGACCGCAAGGUUGAAACUCAAAGGAAUUGACGGGGGCCCGCACAAGUGGUGGAGCAUGUGGUUUAAUUCGAUGCUACGCGAAGAACCUUACCAGCUCUUGACAUCUUCUGCCAACCCAAGAGAUUGGGCGUUCCCUUCGGGGACAGAAUGACAGGUGGUGCAUGGUUGUCGUCAGCUCGUGUCGUGAGAUGUUGGGUUAAGUCCCGCAACGAGCGCAACCCUUAUUAUUAGUUGCCAGCAUUUAGUUGGGCACUCUAGUGAGACUGCCGGUGAUAAACCGGAGGAAGGUGGGGACGACGUCAAAUCAUCAUGCCCCUUAUGAGCUGGGCUACACACGUGCUACAAUGGAUGGUACAACGAGUCGCGAAACCGCGAGGUCAAGCUAAUCUCUUAAAGCCAUUCUCAGUUCGGAUUGCAGGCUGCAACUCGCCUGCAUGAAGUUGGAAUCACUAGUAAUCGUGGAUCAGCAUGCCACGGUGAAUACGUUCCCGGGCCUUGUACACACCGCCCGUC